rnacentral:rRNA from 1 species
AGGGUUUGAUCAUGGCUCAGAACGUACGCUGGCGGCACGCCUAACACAUGCAAGUCGAACGAAGUAGCAAUACUUAGUGGCAGACGGGUGAGUAACAUGUGGGUAUCUGCCCUUUGGCCUGGAAUAACACGAGGAAACUUGUGCUAAUACCGGAUAAGUCUUUACGGAGAAAGCUUUAUGCACCAUUGGAUGAGCCUGCACUUGAUUAGUUUGUUGGUGGGGUAAUGGCCUACCAAGACUGUGAUCAAUAGCUGAUUUGAGAGGAUGAUCAGCCACAUUGGGACUGAGACACGGCCCAAACUCCUACGGGAGGCAGCAGUGGGGAAUCUUGCACAAUGGAGGAAACUCUGAUGCAGCGAUGCCGCGUGAGUGAAGAAGGCCCUUGGGUUGUAAAGCUCUUUCGUCGGGGAAGAAAAUGACUGUACCCGAAUAAGAAGGUCCGGCUAACUUCGUGCCAGCAGCCGCGGUAAUACGAAGGGACCUAGCGUAGUUCGGAAUUACUGGGCUUAAAGAGUUCGUAGGUGGUUGAAAAAGUUAGUGGUGAAAUCCCAGAGCUUAACUCUGGAACUGCCAUCAAAACUUUUCAGCUAGAGUAUGAUAGAGGAAAGCAGAAUUUCUAGUGUAGAGGUGAAAUUCGUAGAUAUUAGAAAGAAUACCAAUUGCGAAGGCAGCUUUCUGGAUCAUUACUGACACUGAGGAACGAAAGCAUGGGUAGCGAAGAGGAUUAGAUACCCUCGUAGUCCAUGCCGUAAACGAUGUGUGUUAGACGUUGGAAAUUUAUUUUCAGUGUCGCAGCGAAAGCGAUAAACACACCGCCUGGGGAGUACGACCGCAAGGUUAAAACUCAAAUGAAUUGACGGGGACCCGCACAAGUAGUGGAGCAUGUGGUUUAAUUCGAAGAUACGCGCAGAACCUUACCAACACUUGACAUGUUCGUCGCGACUCUAAGAGAUUAGAGUUUUCGGUUCGGCCGGACGAAACACAGGUGCUGCAUGGCUGUCGUCAGCUCGUGUCGUGAGAUGUUGGGUUAAGUCCCGCAACGAGCGCAACCCUCACUUUUAGUUGCCAUCAUUAAGUUGGGCACUCUGAAAGAACUGCCAGUGAUAAGCUGGAGGAAGGUGGGGAUGACGUCAAGUCCUCAUGGCCCUUACGUGUUGGGCUACACACGUGCUACAAUGGUAUCUACAACAGGAAGCAAGACUGCGAAGUUAAGCAAAUCCCUAAAAGAUACCUCAGUUCGGAUUGCACUCUGCAACUCGAGUGCAUGAAGCUGGAAUUACUAGUAAUCGUGGAUCAGCGUGCCACGGUGAAUGCGUUCCCGGGUCUUGUACACACCGCCCGUCACACCAUGGGAGUUGGUUCUACCUUAAGGCAAGGUUUCAAACCCUUGACCACGGUAUAGUCAGCGACUGGGGUGAAGUCAUAACAAGGUAGCCGUA